GGUUAAGCGACUAAGCGUACACGGUGGAUGCCCUGGCAGUCAGAGGCGAUGAAGGACGUGCUAAUCUGCGAUAAGCGUCGGUAAGGUGAUAUGAACCGUUAUAACCGGCGAUUUCCGAAUGGGGAAACCCAGUGUGUUUCGACACACUAUCAUUAACUGAAUCCAUAGGUUAAUGAGGCGAACCGGGGGAACUGAAACAUCUAAGUACCCCGAGGAAAAGAAAUCAACCGAGAUUCCCCCAGUAGCGGCGAGCGAACGGGGAGGAGCCCAGAGCCUGAAUCAGUGUGUGUGUUAGUGGAAGCGUCUGGAAAGGCGCGCGAUACAGGGUGACAGCCCCGUACACAAAAAUGCACAUGCUGUGAGCUCGAUGAGUAGGGCGGGACACGUGGUAUCCUGUCUGAAUAUGGGGGGACCAUCCUCCAAGGCUAAAUACUCCUGACUGACCGAUAGUGAACCAGUACCGUGAGGGAAAGGCGAAAAGAACCCCGGCGAGGGGAGUGAAAAAGAACCUGAAACCGUGUACGUACAAGCAGUGGGAGCACGCUUAGGCGUGUGACUGCGUACCUUUUGUAUAAUGGGUCAGCGACUUAUAUUCUGUAGCAAGGUUAACCGAAUAGGGGAGCCGAAGGGAAACCGAGUCUUAACUGGGCGUUAAGUUGCAGGGUAUAGACCCGAAACCCGGUGAUCUAGCCAUGGGCAGGUUGAAGGUUGGGUAACACUAACUGGAGGACCGAACCGACUAAUGUUGAAAAAUUAGCGGAUGACUUGUGGCUGGGGGUGAAAGGCCAAUCAAACCGGGAGAUAGCUGGUUCUCCCCGAAAGCUAUUUAGGUAGCGCCUCGUGAAUUCAUCUCCGGGGGUAGAGCACUGUUUCGGCAAGGGGGUCAUCCCGACUUACCAACCCGAUGCAAACUGCGAAUACCGGAGAAUGUUAUCACGGGAGACACACGGCGGGUGCUAACGUCCGUCGUGAAGAGGGAAACAACCCAGACCGCCAGCUAAGGUCCCAAAGUCAUGGUUAAGUGGGAAACGAUGUGGGAAGGCCCAGACAGCCAGGAUGUUGGCUUAGAAGCAGCCAUCAUUUAAAGAAAGCGUAAUAGCUCACUGGUCGAGUCGGCCUGCGCGGAAGAUGUAACGGGGCUAAACCAUGCACCGAAGCUGCGGCAGCGACGCUGAUGCGUUGUUGGGUAGGGGAGCGUUCUGUAAGCCUGUGAAGGUGUGCUGUGAGGCAUGCUGGAGGUAUCAGAAGUGCGAAUGCUGACAUAAGUAACGAUAAAGCGGGUGAAAAGCCCGCUCGCCGGAAGACCAAGGGUUCCUGUCCAACGUUAAUCGGGGCAGGGUGAGUCGACCCCUAAGGCGAGGCCGAAAGGCGUAGUCGAUGGGAAACAGGUUAAUAUUCCUGUACUUGGUGUUACUGCGAAGGGGGGACGGAGAAGGCUAUGUUGGCCGGGCGACGGUUGUCCCGGUUUAAGCGUGUAGGCUGGUUUUCCAGGCAAAUCCGGAAAACUAAGGCUGAGGCGUGAUGACGAGGCACUACGGUGCUGAAGCAACAAAUGCCCUGCUUCCAGGAAAAGCCUCUAAGCAUCAGGUAACAUCAAAUCGUACCCCAAACCGACACAGGUGGUCAGGUAGAGAAUACCAAGGCGCUUGAGAGAACUCGGGUGAAGGAACUAGGCAAAAUGGUGCCGUAACUUCGGGAGAAGGCACGCUGAUAUGUAGGUGAAGUCCCUCGCGGAUGGAGCUGAAAUCAGUCGAAGAUACCAGCUGGCUGCAACUGUUUAUUAAAAACACAGCACUGUGCAAACACGAAAGUGGACGUAUACGGUGUGACGCCUGCCCGGUGCCGGAAGGUUAAUUGAUGGGGUCAGCGCAAGCGAAGCUCUUGAUCGAAGCCCCGGUAAACGGCGGCCGUAACUAUAACGGUCCUAAGGUAGCGAAAUUCCUUGUCGGGUAAGUUCCGACCUGCACGAAUGGCGUAAUGAUGGCCAGGCUGUCUCCACCCGAGACUCAGUGAAAUUGAACUCGCUGUGAAGAUGCAGUGUACCCGCGGCAAGACGGAAAGACCCCGUGAACCUUUACUAUAGCUUGACACUGAACAUUGAGCCUUGAUGUGUAGGAUAGGUGGGAGGCUUUGAAGUGUGGACGCCAGUCUGCAUGGAGCCGACCUUGAAAUACCACCCUUUAAUGUUUGAUGUUCUAACGUUGACCCGUAAUCCGGGUUGCGGACAGUGUCUGGUGGGUAGUUUGACUGGGGCGGUCUCCUCCUAAAGAGUAACGGAGGAGCACGAAGGUUGGCUAAUCCUGGUCGGACAUCAGGAGGUUAGUGCAAUGGCAUAAGCCAGCUUGACUGCGAGCGUGACGGCGCGAGCAGGUGCGAAAGCAGGUCAUAGUGAUCCGGUGGUUCUGAAUGGAAGGGCCAUCGCUCAACGGAUAAAAGGUACUCCGGGGAUAACAGGCUGAUACCGCCCAAGAGUUCAUAUCGACGGCGGUGUUUGGCACCUCGAUGUCGGCUCAUCACAUCCUGGGGCUGAAGUAGGUCCCAAGGGUAUGGCUGUUCGCCAUUUAAAGUGGUACGCGAGCUGGGUUUAGAACGUCGUGAGACAGUUCGGUCCCUAUCUGCCGUGGGCGCUGGAGAACUGAGGGGGGCUGCUCCUAGUACGAGAGGACCGGAGUGGACGCAUCACUGGUGUUCGGGUUGUCAUGCCAAUGGCACUGCCCGGUAGCUAAAUGCGGAAGAGAUAAGUGCUGAAAGCAUCUAAGCACGAAACUUGCCCCGAGAUGAGUUCUCCCUGACUCCUUGAGAGUCCUGAAGGAACGUUGAAG
rnacentral:rRNA from 1 species